rnacentral:rRNA from 1 species
GACGAACGCUGGCGGCGUGCCUAACACAUGCAAGUCGAACGGGGUAGCAAUACCUCAGUGGCGAACGGGUGCGUAACACGUGAAGAAUUUGUCUAACGGCGGGGAUAGCCGGCCCAACGGCCGGGUAAUACCGCGUACGACCUCUGGAGGGCAUCCUCUGGUGGUGAAAGCCGCAAGGCGCCGAUAGAGAACUUCGCGGCCUAUCAGCUAGUUGCGGGGUAAUGGCCCACCAAGGCGACGACGGGAGCUGGUCCGAGAGGAUGACCAGCCACAUUGGGACUGAGACACGGCCCAGACUCCUACGGGA